AAAAAUUUAAGUUAAAAAAACUGUUGACCUUCAAAGUCAAAAAUAGGAAAAUUCUAAUUUUUA
rnacentral:tRNA from 1 species